UAUUAUAUCUUGUUAAUAUUUAUUUUUUUUUGUUUGUAAAUGAAAAAUAAUUUUUAAUUAUGAAAAGGUAGUUUUUUAUGAGAAGUUAAUGGCUAAAGAUUAAAGUACUGUAGAGGAAUGAAAAAUAAUUAUAAAAAGAGAAGGAAUUAAAUUUUGUAUCUUGUGUAUAAGAGAAAAUUUAUAUAGUUAAAGUAAGGUUAAGAUCUCGAAAUAAAAACAGUUAAUUUUUUAAUAAAGUUUUUAUAGGAUAUAAAUUUUUAAUAUAAAAUUAAAGGUGAAAUGUCAGACGAGUUUUAUAAUAUCUAGUUUUCUAAAAAAAAAUUUAAUUUGGUUUUUAUAGUUAUAAUAAUAUAAAAAGAUAAUAUAGAAGGGUAAAGCUUUCUAUUUUCUAGGAGUUAGAAUAGGAAAAUUAAGGUUGUGAUGUGAGCUAGGCUUAAGGGUAGUUAAGUUUUUAAAGUGUUUGGACUAAGUUUUAUAAUUUUUUUAAAAUUGUUUCUUUCUUUUGGUAUUAGAGAAUUAUUUUAAGUAGGAAAAAAUAAGAUAAAAUGAUUUUAUUAGUAGAUAGAGUUUUUUAAAUAAAUAUUUGAGAUGGAUUAAAGAAAGAUUUAAGAAUUAAAGAUGUAUUUAAGGAAUUUAGCAAAUAUUUUCUNNCCUGUUUAUCAAAAACAUGUCUGUUUGAAGCUAUAAAAAGUCUGACCUGCCCACUGGUUAGAAAAUUUAAGGGCCGCGGUAUUAUGACCGUGCAAAGGUAGCAUAAUCAUUAGGUUUUUAAAUGGAAUCUUGUAUGAAUGGUUGGACGAAGGAGAGACUGUCUUGGAAAUAAGUAUUAAAAUUUACUUUUAAGUGAGAAGGCUUAAAUGUUUUAGGAGGACGAUAAGACCCUAUAAAACUUUACAUUAAGGUAAUAUUUGAUUGAAUUUGAAUAAUAAAAGUUUUAGGUUAUUAUUUGUUUUGUUGGGGAGAUGAAAGUAAAAAUUAUAUUAACUGCUUAAAAAAUAAUCAUUUAUAAGUGUAUUAAGAAUUUAUUGAUCCUAUAAAUAUAGAUUAAAAGAUAAAGUUACUUUAGGGAUAACAGUGUUAUUUUUUUUGAGAGUUCGUAUCGAAGAAAAAGUUUACAACCUCGAUGUUGAAUUAGAAGUGUCUUUAUAAUGUAGCUGUUAUAGAAGAGGGUCUGUUCGAC
rnacentral:rRNA from 1 species